UACGUAGGGUGCAAGCGUUGUCCGGAAUUAUUGGGCGUAAAGAGCUCGUAGGCGGUUUGUUGCGUCGGCUGUGAAAUCCCGAGGCUCAACCUCGGGUCUGCAGUCGAUACGAGCAAACUAGAGUGUUGCAGGGGAGACUGGAAUUCCUGGUGUAGCGGUGAAAUGCGCAGAUAUCAGGAGGAACACCGGUGGCGAAGGCGGGUCUCUGGGCAACAACUGACGCUGAGACGCGAAAGCGUGGGGAGCGAACCGG
rnacentral:rRNA from 1 species